UACGUAGGGGGCAAGCGUUGUCCGGAUUUAUUGGGCGUAAAGAGCGUGUAGGCGGCCAGAUAGGUCAGCUGUGAAAACUCGAGGCUCAACCUCGAGAUGUCGGCGGAAACCGUCUGGCUAGAGUCCGGAAGAGGAGAGUGGAAUUCCUGGUGUAGCGGUGAAAUGCGCAGAUAUCAGGAAGAACACCUAUGGCGAAGGCAGCUCUCUGGGACGGUACUGACGCUGAGACGCGAAAGCGUGGGGAGCGAACAGG
rnacentral:rRNA from 1 species